rfam:Ruminococcus sp. CAG:9-related_41_34 Ley3_66761_scaffold_3809, whole genome shotgun sequence.
UGAAAAGCUUAGAAGGUGUUUACAGGGAUUUAUUUUCCGUCAGAGAGAGGAAGCCAUCGGCUGGAAGCUGCCUCAGGUUCAGAUAUUUCCUGAAUUUCCCACCGGAGCCGCAUUUCUGAAUGACAGUAUUUACUGAGUAGGAAAUGACGUUACUGCGCGUUAAGCAGACCGAGAGCCUGUAGAAAAUGCAGGAAGCAGGGUGGUACCGCGGAUAUUUUACUCCGUCCCUUUA